UACGUAGGGUGCAAGCGUUGUCCGGAAUUAUUGGGCGUAAAGAGCUCGUAGGCGGUCUGUCGCGUCGGCUGUGAAAACCCGAGGCUCAACCUCGGGCCUGCAGUCGAUACGGGCAAACUAGAGUACUGCAGGGAGACUGGAAUUCCUGGUGUAGCGGUGAAAUGCGCAGAUAUCAGGAGGAACACCGGUGGCGAAGGCGGGUCUCUGGGCAGUAACUGACGCUGGAGGUGACGAAAGCGUGGGGAGCAAACAGG
rnacentral:rRNA from 1 species